CAAUAGCGUAUAUUAAAGCUGUUGCGGUUAAAAAGCUCGUAGUUGGAUUUCUGUCAAGGACAACUGGUCCGCCCUCCGGGUGAGCACAUAGUUUGGUCUUGGCAUCUUGCUGGAGACUGUUGCUGCGCUUGGUUGUGUGGUGCAGCUUUCAGCACUUUCACUUUGAGGAAAUUGGAGUGUUUCAAGCAGGCACAUGCCUUUGGACACAGUAGCAUGGAAUAAUUAGAUUGGGCUUUUGCUCCAACUUGUUGGUUCCUGGAGCUGAGGUGAGAAUCAAUGGGGAUUGUUGGGGGCAUCCGAAUUUAGCCGUCAGAGGUGAAAUUCUUGGAUCUGCUAAAGACGGACAACUGCGAAAGCGUUUGCCCAGGAUGUUUUCAUUGA
rnacentral:rRNA from 1 species